rnacentral:ncRNA from 1 species
AGGCGAAGUGAAUACACACUACUUUUAACGUUACUUUCUUUAUUCCAGUGAAUCGGCAGGCGGGGCACUUCGCCCCUCUUUUUGGACCCAAGGCUCGGCGUUGCGCGCGAUCGGGCGGAACGACAUUGCAGGUGGGGGAGUUAGGCUCGGCGGCGCACAUCUCCUAAAGAAUAACGCAGGAUGUCUAGAUGAGCUCAACGAGAAACAGAAAUCUCGUGUGAACAGAAGGGUAAAAAGCUCGUUUGAUUCUGAUUUCCCAGUACGAAUAACGAACCGUGAAAGCGUGGCCGUAACGAUCCUUUAGGAACCUUCGGAAUUCGAAGCUAGGAGGUGUCAGAAAAGUUACCACGAGGGUAAUAACUGGUUGUGGCCAGCCAAGCGUUCAUCAGCGACGUUUGCUUUGAUCCUUCGAUGGUUGCGUCUCUUCUAUCAUUGCUGAAGCAGAAUUCACCAAGUGUUGGAUUGUUCACCACCAAUUAGGAACGCUGAGCUGGUUUAGACCGGUCGUGCAGACAGGGUUAGUUUUACCCUACGAUGACAGAUGUCGCAAUAGUAAUUACAACCUAGUACGAGAGAACCGUUGAUUCGCACAAUUGGUCAUCGCCUUGGUUUGAAACCAUGGCGCCGAAGCUACCGUGAGUUUGAUUAUGACAUGAACGCCUGCUAAGUCAGAAUCCGGGCUGACCGACGCAUGCGCUCGUCGCGUUUGGCCGACCCGCAGUAGGGGCCCAUUUGGCCCCUAACGGCACGUAGUCGUUGGCUAAGCCGUCGUUGCGGAAGGGUCACGCGUCGGCCGCCUUUGAAUUACAAUUCCGAUCGAGCGCCGAGCUGAAUCCUUUGCAGCGACUAAUAACGCGGACGCCGCGGUACUUGUAAACCGGGUAGCAGUGCCUUGCUUAGCCACGAUCCUCUUGAGAUUCAGGCCCUUGUCGCUCACGAUUCGU